AAUCGGUUCAAGUCCUGAGAGGAUCCUGUAAUGGAGAUGCCUUGUAACCGAAUAGCUAUUGUCUAUAGGGGGACUAUUAUG
rfam:Lactobacillus sp. wkB8, complete genome.